rnacentral:rRNA from 1 species
UACGUAGGGUGCGAGCGUUGUUCGGAAUUACUGGGCGUAAAGCGUGCGCAGGCGGCUUUGCAAGACAGAUGUGAAAUCCCCGGGCUUAACCUGGGAACUGCAUUUGUGACUGCAUGGCUAGAGUGCGGCAGAGGGGAUGGAAUUCCGCGUGUAGCAGUGAAAUGCGUAGAUAUGCGGAAGAACACCGAUGGCGAAGGCAAUCCCCUGGGCCUGCGACUGACGCUCGAUGCACGAAAGCGUGGGGAGCAAACAGG